GUGUGGUUAACUCAUUCGUGGCAAAUUUAAAUAUUUCUGCUCGAGGCUUUGAGGCGUCAUUCUUACUCGAACUUUAGUAAAGUACAGAUGAAAGUUAGUGCAAAACGUCGCCUUUAUGAAACGUUUUCGAACUAAAGACGUUAUACCAUGCAGAGGGAUAGGUCAGUAUUUAAUUUAGCUAUUUUUUAAACGUUUUUGAGUUGUUCUCGUUAAGUUAUUGCUGUUUUUUAAAACACGUGUGUAUGCAUUCAUUGUAGUACUAUUGAAUUUGAUUCCCAUUCAAGCGCUUCGUUUCAGCGCUCAGUCGCUUUAUUUUCUCAGUGUCCCUCCCUAAUUUCCUAGCAGUAAUGUUCAGAAGUACCAUUUAACUCAUAUUUAGUUUAUCUGCAAUUUCAGGGCGAAAAUUUGAAGAGAAAGUGAACUAAUUCAAGUCGCCGACAUGGUCAAAAUGCCGAAGCACUUGGUAAGGAUAAUAUGUCUAUUAAAGGUGUUUCCUUCUUGUUCGUUUCUCGUUUUCAAGCUUCCCCAAUACACCUAGGACGUCUUCUAGCGUUACUUUGUAGCCUUAUGAACAUUCUAAGUCAAGUUUAGUUCCAAUAUUGGUGAAUUCUCAACACCGAGCAAAUUGCAGACUUAUUUUAGGCAUGGUCAAUUUCACAUGCAGGCGUGGCAUAUUUUUGAACGUUUUAGCUUUUACAAACUUGUCUUUUAUGUACAAAUUGUUCUCUGAGAGGGAAGGCUAAGCCUUUUGAGUUUCUUGAGGGUUGUCUAAAUUGAAUUUCAUCCAAUAUUUUUGCGAAAUUUAGAGAAGAAAUGUCCUCGUGGUUCAUGCCCUAAUUUUAUGCAUAAAUGCACGCAUUCUUUAAAAUUAAAAUAAAUUGAAUUGGACAACCGCACCCUGUGUAAAGACAUUAAAUAACUCUUCGCUGUUUUGAAACUAAUAAUUCAUUGUCCAAUUAUUUAGACUGCCUCAAAGUUGAUCAUUUCGAUGGCAAGCAGUACAGAAAGACCUCUGCACAAAUUUGAAGAGAAGCUCGCUUAGCAGUCGAAGCAAAACGAGAAAGACUAGAAGGCAAAGGACAAAUGAGACCAGCCGCCAGCUCCGAUUCCUUUGUGGACUCGCAGCAUUCAUCGUCGCAUAUCGUCUACAGUGCAAAGUUAAGGAAGAGAUUGAACUCAUCAGAGAUUGCACAAAGACAGUAACGAAAUCAUAUGAUAACAUACCCGGGACUGUCUGCCGUACCAUCCAGAGACCAUAACCAAUACGCCAUACCAUCGCCAAAGAUGUUGCCCAUUACAGAAGGUAUAUAUUUUCUCGUGAUUCUCGUUGUGCGUGUUCGAAAUUACGCGGGGACCACCCUGAAGACGCCCAAAUGCACAAAACAAAUUUAAAUAUGGCACAUUUUCCUUAAUUUCGCAAUUUAUUCAAAUUUUCUACAUUUCUUGGUAUUUGUGAAAAGCUCUCGACGAAAUCAAAAUGUUUGAAAUUCGGAAGUUUCUAUCUGGGAGUUUGUUUAUUUGAAAGAUAUUUGAAAUGAAAUUUUGAAGUUUACAUCACUUUGGUAUUUGGUUUAAACGCUAGGUAAAAUCAUGCCAGAUGAGUGGUCGACCAUUCGUCGAAGUUCGGUGAUACUUCGGCUCGGACUUUCCCGACCUACAGUUGAGUUGCUCUGAUCGAUUGUCGUGAUCAACUAGCGCAAAUGUAAGGUCUGGCCAACCUUGCGUUUGUGCUUUUUGUUCGUGGCAUGAGAUUGGGACAGCUCGCCUAUAGGCCUGGAAAGAUCAAGCCAAAGUACCACCAAACUUUGAUUUGUGGCCGGCUUUUUGUCUGUAUGGCUUUAUCCAGUGUUUUCCCGUUAUCAUUUUGAUGUAGACUUUGGGAUUUUGGCUUGAAUAUCUUUAAUAUAAACAUUCUUUGAGGUUUAAUCUUUCAAGAAUUUCAUGGGUUUUGACUAGUUAAUGUGUUUUUCGUAGAUACUAUAAUUGUAUUAAAAAUAUCGACCAAAAAAAUUUAAAACUGACCAAAACGUCAUUUGAGGUGUCGGAUGGGAGGUCCAGUGGGAGUCGUAGCGGAUACCAAAGGAUAAAUACGGAUUACUGUGACACUGUGCGCUAUUGGAGAUAUUGUGAACAUUUAUGGAUAAUUGUGAACGUUAAUGGAUUACAACAAACAAUUAUGGAUUAUGAACAUUUGUGGAUAAAAUGUACCUCGCGAUCGACGGUUACCUACCAAUGUACCUUGACAACGAAAGCUGCACGACAGCAACGAGAUGACUGCCUCAAGGUUAGAGGGUUUAGUCUGAUAACAAGCAGUAGUUAGCUUGUUAUCAGACAGUAGUUAGCCUGCUAUCAGGCAGUAGUUAGCCUGCUAACAGGCAGUAUAUCUGUAGGAUUCAUACCCAAGACUCUAAUUUGCAUGUUGUCGGUGAAGUCUCUGGGUUAAUCGGUUUAAAAUUCCUGGCGGUCUGUGGUUAGUAGUACAUUUGCACGCAAGGUUGAUUUUUUAUUCGGAUGUUUUGCAUGCUAAUAAAAAAUGAGAUUUUGACCUCAAUUAAUCAGAAUUUCGACAUCAUCUGAAUCGAAAGUCAAUCUUAAGAGGUUAACAUUUGAGCUUCCGGUCACGUGGUUCUUUGCAUGCACUCGGUUCGGUUACUGGUGGGUUUCAGUAAGUGUUACAAUCCAGACGAUGGAGCAAUUUAUUUGUUUCAAACACUUCCUGGAGCAAUUUAUUUGCUUCAAAUACAAGACUACUACAUAAAGUGAAAAGGAGUGAACAUUAUUUUUUCACUCUAGUAACUCGUAGUGAGACCCACUAGUUAUUUGCAGUCUGUUCGUGCCAAUGUUGUUCUCUUUGUGUAAAUGUACUGCUUAGGUGUCUCCGUGUCUGUGCAUGAACGCAACGCGCAGCAGAAUCCAGAAUAUAGGCAGACAAGUAAAACUUUGACAGACUUUAAAAUUUUGUUUAUAUCGAUGUGUUAUGUUCAUAAAUGUAUAGAAAUAUCAUGAAAUGUGUUAGGCUUUGGCUUGGGGUUAAAUCUAACCCUAUAACCUUAACCUUAAUCCAUUACAUGAUCUGUAUGUUUGUGUACGUAAUAUAUGGGUGUAGCCAAACUUUUGUUGAAAAGCUGGCAUAGUUUUCCUUGGGUAGGAUAACUAAACUGGGUGCAAAUGGUAUCCAUAGCUUAGAGGGUGCAAAUGGUACCCGUAAGAAGAUUGGUGGAUAUCGUUGUGGACAAGAUUUAUUUGAAAGAUGUGGAUUCUCUCCGGGUAUUCCGGUUUCCACCUACAGAAAGAUCAGCUUAGGACUGUAAUGAAAUAAUUAUUGUAAUGAUAAACAGUCUACGCUUUAGUGAUAAGGCCGUAGUGCAUGUAUAUCGCUGGUUUCGAACGUUGGUUUUCUGCGCCGAGUUAUAUGAAAACAGUUCGCUACCAGAGAUUAGGUCCCCUCUCUGUCAUGGCGGCUCGACGAUGAAAGACAUUACCAUAAGGCAUGCAAACCUUACCCCUGUUUGUGGAAGCUCAUCAGGUGCAACCGGCACACUAGGUUAAGUUAAGUUAAGUUAAGCUAGGGGCAUGACCGAGACUCCACAUUCGGGGGUUUCCCUUGCAGGUUUUUGAAAUGAUAUGUGCGCGCGCACUAGUUAGGAAGGUUAGACAGCUAGAAAUAGGGCGCUUUGCAUGUUUACUAUAAUUCAUUAUCAUCAUACUUUUGCGCCAGUAACAUUCUGAGAAGUAUUUACCACAGCAGGAAAAUGGAAUCUGUUUUCCUGUUGAAAAAUACUUACAGAAUCAAUUCAAAGUGGAAAAAAGAAAACAUUGCGAAAAAGAGAAAUAAAAAAUAUUGCGAAAAAGAGAAAUAAAAAAUAUUGCGAAAAAGAGGAAUAAAAAAGAAAACCGCGAAACCACUUUGAAUAUAAGCAACAAUAGUCCAAGAAUACUUGUUGCAGAAAAAACAACAAAAAAGAAACAAUUUUCUGCCAAGAUAUCUUGGAUUAGGAGCUUAACGAUAAGAAACGUAGUUCUCGCUCCAAAGUGGAGAAUAGGCUCGUUUCUUUAGGUUGCUAAUGCAUUGCGCGCGCGCGCUUUAUAAAUUGUACUAUAAGUUUUCAGCCGAAAAGACCGCCAGGAAAAAUAGAGUGUUUUCACGUGCUGCUUUGUUGACGGACAAGUAUUUUUAAAUAAUGGUUUUCUUGUUAACUUUUAUUUCGGCACUUUAACUUGUUCCCAAACAUAGCCGCCGUGAAAACACUCUGCAGAUCAAGUUUAUAUAUGGUCAGCGACAUAGAAUGUUUGCCAUGUUGCAUUCCGUGUUGUCUUACAUUCAUACAUAAGCUUGGUCGAACCAUGGAUCAUAAAAAACACCAUGGUCGUGCGCAGCUAAUUAACAUAAGCGGCGCGCGCGCGUGCUGCUGUAAUGCGGAGUACAGUCAGUGAGUGUACUCCAUGUGCAAAUAGUGACGUUGUGCUCUAUAUAGUCUUGACUUGAAAAAUAAAUUAAGGUGCAUGUUCAUUAGAAUUAAGUGCGCAACGUUUCAUGCAAAUAAAAUUAAACGCGCUCUGAUGCAUGCUUAGUACAAUUAAGGGCAUGAAAACCAGUGCAUGCUAAUUUAAAUUGAGUGCGCGCGUUGCAAUUUUCUUGCGCGCGAUAAAGCAAAAUGCAGCAAAAAUCUAAAAUAUAGAAAUGCACACAUCACAUCUUCAAAAUGCAUCCAAGUGUCCUAACAGCUUUUACAAACUAUAGUUAGUAAAAUGUGUUGGGUCGUUGGAUUCAUUUGCCACGCACCUUGUCCUGAACAUAUCUGAAAUAUUUUCAGGUUUCAAGGUUAAGAUAAAUAUACCCUUACAUGGAACAAUUCGUUCAUAAAAAGAGAUCUAUUUGUCUUGCGCAAUCUGUAGACUGAAUUUUUGGGUGGUCUACAAUUUUUUUUUGAACAUCUCGUGAGAUUUUUUUUAUUUGGAUUUUUUUUGCAAGAUUUUUACUUUUCUGGAUUUUGGUAUGUAUUGGUAGGUAUGGUAUAUAUUAUAGUUAAUUCGGUCACACAGGGUUGCCCCCGGGGUUUUCGGAAUCCGGACUCGUAAUCACCAAGGUUUUUCACCAGAUCCUCUGGUUUUCCUCGGGUGAUUACGUAUUUUUUCGUUUGGCAAAAUAUCUAAAAAUUCCAAAA